rnacentral:rRNA from 1 species
UACAGAGGUGGCAAGCGUUGUUCGGAAGUACUGGGCGUAAAGGGCGCGUAGGCGGCCUUCUAAGUCAGACGUGAAAUCCCCCGGCUUAACCUGGGAACUGCGUCUGAUACUGGAGGGCUUGAGUGCGGGAGAGGGAUGUGGAAUUCCAGGUGUAGCGGUGAAAUGCGUAGAUAUCUGGAGGAACACCGGUGGCGAAGGCGGCAUCCUGGACCGACACUGACGCUGAGGCGCGAAAGCUAGGGUAGCAAACGGG